rnacentral:lncRNA from 1 species
AUUUUUAAAAUUUAAUCCGUUAUUACUUUUUCCAACUCCGCUAGCUUUAUUGCUCCUUUUCCUUCUCUCAACCUUGAUCCAAUCACCAUGGAGAUAAUUUGGCUCCUCAUUAAUUUCCAAAUUAACGGUUUUUUCCGAGAUUUCAGCUAUUUCGUAUCCUUGAUUUCCGCCUUGCUGUUUACCGCUUUCUGCCACCGUCUCUCUCUCGUUAACAGGUUCUGGACAUGCGUAUUCCGCCGCUUCAGUAGCCGUCGUAGCUUCUGGUUUUUUCUUAAUGGAACAGUCCUUCAUAAUAUGACCAUAACAGCCACAGUGAGUGCAAAUAUUGUGCAAUCCCUCAUAUUGGACAUGAUACCACUCACCAUUGAUUCCCACUCUUCCCACAACAGGCU